UACGUAGGGUGCAAGCGUUGUCCGGAAUUAUUGGGCGUAAAGAGCUCGUAGGCGGUUUGUCGCGUCUGCUGUGAAAUCCCAGGGCUUAACCCUGGGCCUGCAGUGGGUACGGGCAAACUAGAGUGCGGUAGGGGAGAUCGGAAUUCCUGGUGUAGCGGUGAAAUGCGCAGACAUCAGGAGGAACACCGGUGGCGAAGGCGGAUCUCUGGGCCGUAACUGACGCUGAGGAGCGAAAGCAUGGGUAGCGAACAGG
rnacentral:rRNA from 1 species